GGAGAAUGUAGCAGUGAGGAAAGGAGGACAGACUGGGUAACAAACCAAGCUGCAGGUUCAUUACUGGCAGCUGCUAAUUGUGCAGUCAGGAGAAGAGACAAGGCUUCUUGGGGACAUACACAGCUUUUCUAGCUACCGCACAUUGCAUCAACACUUCCAAUGAGCUGUCCACCACGACCCCAAGAUCUCUCUCCUGGGCAGUCACCAAAAGCUCAGAUCCCAUCAGCAUUUACAUGAAGUUCCCAAGCACCCAAACCUGUUGUGUGGAGGGCUCCCAAGCUGGCAAUCCAAACUUAAACUAGUAAGAUGUGGGACUGGUUCAUGCAGGCUUGCUUAUCGUUUGCUGACUGAAGCAUCAGGUGGAGGCUGCUUCCACAUGCCGGUGAGCCAACGCAGAUCAAACACCAUAGCACAUACCUUUCACAUCACCCAGUGUCAACACGGAUCCAGUGCUUCGCCACUGAGGUAGCCUGUGCAUUCAGCUGGAAGCCAAGCCAUCAGGUGCUGAAGUUGAAGGGUGGUGUACAUGCAUCCGUGAACCAGC